AUUUCCAGGAGGGGGUGCUUGUUGAAUGUACCGGGACUGUGGAACAUGUGCCACAGUUCUAUAAGCAUCCUCCAGAGGGGCCAAAUUAACAGCAGGAGGUGGGGGCUGCCGAUCCUCAACAAACCGGGCAGGAGGUGGGGGCUGCCGAUCCUCAGCAUAGUGGGAAGGAGGUGCUUCUUGAGGUGGUAGAUCGAUGGGACGGAACAAUGCCAUCAAUUUACGGACCUGCACUCCAUCUCAAACAGUAAAAAUUUGGGUAGCAAGAUGACAAAACCUUAAAUUUAAUAGCUGAAUUGCUUUAAAAUAUGAUAUGAGUGAUGCUGAUUUUUCUUUAAUAGCCACAGGAUACAGAAUCUCAACU
rnacentral:lncRNA from 1 species